GACGAACGCUGGCGGCGCGCCUAACACAUGCGAGUCGAACGGAGCUGAGAGAAGCUUGCUUUUCUUAGCUUAGUGGCGAACGGGUGAGUAACGCGUGAGUAACCUGCCCUGGAGUGGGGGACAACAGUUGGAAACGACUGCUAAUACCGCAUAAGCCCACGAUCCGGCAUCGGAUUGAGGGAAAAGGAUUUAUUCGCUUCAGGAUGGACUCGCGUCCAAUUAGCUAGUUGGUGAGGUAACGGCCCACCAAGGCGACGAUUGGUAGCCGGACUGAGAGGUUGAACGGCCACAUUGGGACUGAGACACGGCCCAGACUCCUACGGGAGGCAGCAGUGGGGGAUAUUGCACAAUGGGGGAAACCCUGAUGCAGCGACGCCGCGUGGAGGAAGAAGGUUUUCGGAUUGUAAACUCCUGUCGUUAGGGACGAUAAUGACGGUACCUAACAAGAAAGCACCGGCUAACUACGUG
rnacentral:rRNA from 1 species